UACGUAGGGUGCGAGCGUUGUCCGGAAUUAUUGGGCGUAAAGAGCUCGUAGGCGGUGUGUCACGUCGGCCGUGAAAACCUGCAGCUUAACUGUGGGCGUGCGGUCGAUACGGGCAUCACUGGAGUUCGGCAGGGGAGACUGGAAUUCCUGGUGUAGAGGUGAAAUUCGUAGAUAUCGGGAGGAACACCAGUGGCGAAGGCGGCGAUCUGGGAAGAUACUGACGCUGAGGUGCGAAAGCGUGGGGAGCAAACAGG
rnacentral:rRNA from 1 species